rnacentral:rRNA from 1 species
CGUGAGUGAUGAAGGCUUUCGGGUCGUAAAGCUCUGUCAAGUGGGAAGAACCUGCAGUAUGCUAAUAUCAUAUUGCACUGACGGUACCACUGAAGGAAGCACCGGCUAACUCCGUGCCAGCAGCCGCGGUAAUACGGGGGGUGCAAGCGUUAUUCGGAAUCAUUGGGCGUAAAGAGCACGUAGGCGGCCUGGUAAGUCAGAUGUGAAAGCCCGGGGCUUAACCCCGGAAGUGCAUUUGAUACUGCCAGACUUGAGUAUGGGAGAGGGAAGUGGAAUUCCUGGUGUAGAGGUGAAAUUCGUAGAUAUCAGGAGGAACACCGGUGGCGAAGGCGACUUCCUGGACCAAUACUGACGCUGAGGUGCGAAGGCGUGGGUAGCAAACAGGAUUAGAUACCCUGGUAGUCCACGCAGUAAACGUUGUUCACUAGGUGUAGCGGGUAUUGACCCCUGCUGUGCCGCAGUUAACGCAUUAA